GGCGAGGAUAACGGUGACCAGAGAACUCUUCAAAGGUUUAGAUUAAUAACGAGCAAGAGGCGGGCAUUAAGACGACAGUGUGCAUACCAUGAAAUCUGCUAAACCGGAGAGGAUUAAAGAUGUUACCACGAUGGGCGGACACAUUUGGAUCAUUGCUUGCAGUACAACGUGAACUUAGUGCUAGAAAAUUAAAAAAAAAAAUUUCCACUGGAUUUAGACCAUUUAAGAGAUUACAUGAAGAAAAUACUGUACAGUACAUUCCUCUGACUUCUGGGAGCAUCUCACAUGGAACAAGUGGAGAUACAGCUGACUAUUCACCUUGGACCGAAACUGAAGAAAUAAUUCUUGGUAUCAUGGCUGAUGUCGAAUUUUUCCGGUUAAUGGGAAGAUUCUGGAAAUUGCUGCCUAACCUAACCUCGGAAUUGGUUCCCAUUUAAACAGUGGACAUUUUUCUUCAUCUGGUUUAGUCCAUUUUUACUCCUGACAUCGGGAGAGUGUUAUUGUCUUGUUAUAUUUCUUAGGGUAUUUAUUGCAGUGCAAUAAUCAGGUGUAAACAUGGACUAAACCUGUAGAUGAAGAAAAGUUUCCACUGUUUAAAUGGUCCUAUAUUUGAAAAAAUAUUACAUGUAAAUACUGUACAGUAUAUGGAUCCUCAACAGAGGCUUCAUAGGUAGUGUGCAGACAUUUGUUCACAAGGCAUAUUCUGUACUCCCAACAACAAUGGAAAGGAAGACAUGUUAGGUUAGAUUAGGUUCAUCUUGUGAGCAUGGAACCCAUAUACUGUAGGUAUAUUCGUG